rnacentral:misc_RNA from 2 species
AACGCACCUUGCGCCCCUUGGCAUUCCGAGGGGCAUGCCUGUUUGAGUGUCAUGUUAAUCUCGACUCCCCUUGUUUUUCUAACUCGGGUGUGUUGGACGUGGAAGCUGCUGGCCCCCCUCUGUGGUCGGCUCUUCUUAAAUGUAUUAGCUGGGCUUUGGCUCGCGUUGAACGGUGUAAUAGUAAUCUUACAUUCACCGGGGCGCUUGCCUGACGAGUCUGCUUCUAAUCGUCCGUGUUUUCGGACAAGGUCGCUUUGUCGCCUUCAUUUGACACCUUGACCUCAAAUCAGGUAGGAUUACCCGCUGAACUUAA